UACGUAGGGUGCGAGCGUUGUCCGGAAUUAUUGGGCGUAAAGAGCUCGUAGGCGGUUUGUCGCGUCGACUGUGAAAACCUACAGCUUAACUGUGGGCUUGCAGUCGAUACGGGCAGACUUGAGUUCGGUAGGGGAGACUGGAAUUCCUGGUGUAGCGGUGAAAUGCGCAGAUAUCAGGAGGAACACCGGUGGCGAAGGCGGGGUCUCUGGGCCGAUACUGACGCUGAGGAGCGAAAGCGUGGGGGAGCGAACAGG
rnacentral:rRNA from 1 species